GAUGAACGCUGGCGGCGUGCCUAAUACAUGCCAGUCGAGCGAACAGAUGAGGAGCUUGCUCCUCUGACGUUAGCGGCGGACGGGUGAGUAACACGUGGAUAACCUACCUAUAAGACUGGGAUAACUUCGGGAAACCGGAGCUAAUACCGGAUAAUAUAUUGAACCGCAUGGUUCAAUAGUGAAAGACGGUUUUGCUGUCACUUAUAGAUGGAUCCGCGCCGCAUUAGCUAGUUGGUAAGGUAACGGCUUACCAAGGCAACGAUGCGUAGCCGACCUGCGAGAGUGAUAGGCCACACUGGAACUGAGACACGAUCCAGACUCCUACGGGAGGCAGCAGUAGGGAAUCUUCCGCAAUGGGCGAAAGCCUGACGGAGCAACGCCGCGUGAGUGAUGAAGGUCUUCGGAUCGUAAAACUCUGUUAUUAGGGAAGAACAAAUGUGUAAGUAACUAUGCACGUCUUGACGGUACCUAAUCAGAAAGCCACGGCUAACUACGUG
rnacentral:rRNA from 1 species